GAUAAACGCUGGCGGCGCACAUAAGACAUGCAAGUCGAACGGACUUAACCGAAAGUUUACUUUUGGAGCGGUUAGUGGCGGACUGGUGAGUAACACGUAAGUAACCUGCCCAUAAGAGGGGGAUAACACAUGGAAACGUGUGCUAAUACCGCAUAUGGAGCAUUUAUCGCAUGGUAGAAGCUUAAAAGAUUUAUCGCUUAUGGAUGGACUCGCGUAAGAUUAGCUAGUUGGUGAGGUAACGGCUCACCAAGGCGACGAUCUUUAGCCGAACUGAGAGGUUGAUCGGCCACAUUGGGACUGAGACACGGCCCAG
rnacentral:rRNA from 1 species